CCCUGCAGGGGCAGGAAGACACUGAUGCAGUCAAUUCUUCAGUUUUGAAGUGUGAACAAUCAGGAGUGUGCACAAACAGCUGUUGCUGGAGUCAUUCUGUUCAUUUUGAACAUAAACCUCAGCUAAACCACAGCUCUGUCUCAUAAACUGUUGUUGGCUGAGGUCGCCAGCAGUCCAGCGGGUCUCUUGAUCGCUUCAUAGCAGAUUUCAAAUGGAAGUGAUGUAGGACAAAAGCUAAAGCCGUUGGUCUCUAUGAGAAUAUAUUUCAGAGUUUAUUUGUCUGGUAAAACACUAUUUGCAGAUCUCAGUCCUUCCUUUUGCAAAAAUCUAAACACAUUCUCAUGCAAUAAAACACAGCUGUCAGUGUGAUGCACUUGUGAUGCAUAAUGGUAAGUGGCAAAAUAUGAACACAAAUGAAACACGUGUCAAUCAUUGAACGCAACAGAGACACAGAGGAUGAGUGCGUGUAAGAGGAGGCAGAGGCGGAGGACAAGAGGGAGGAAGAGGAAGAGGAAGAAUGCCAAUUUAUGAUGAAAUUCGGGCUACAGUCAUAGACCAUGUACUGGUGCAUGGCAUGACCAUGAGGGAGGCAGGCCAAAGAGUCCAGCCAAACAUCAGCCAAUUCUCUGUGUCCACCAUAAUCCGGAGAUUCAGUCAUGAGAACAGAAUUGCAAGACUGUCAUACGGGGGUGGGAGGACACCCACGUUCACACCCCAGCAGGAGGCCACUGUAGCUGACAUUGUCCGUUAAAACAGUAUCAUUACACUACAGGAAAUACAGCAACAAAUUACUGAGAACCAUACAGACUUCGAGGGAAUCAAUAGUGUGAGCCUUUCCACCACAGACCGUAUCCUCCAUUGCAACAGGAUACGAAUGAACCAAGUUUACAGAGUGCCCUUUGAACGUAGGCUGGACAUUUUCAUUUGUAUUUGUCAAUUUCAGCAUAAUUUUUUUCCCACAGUACCUAUUAUACUAUAAUUCAUGUUUUAAUGUAGAGUAAAUGCUAAAUCCAAUGAGUUAUGAAAUCUUUUUGUCUUUGUCUUUACUUUUGGAGACAAAAUGCAUAUGCUAUACUUUAUUGUGACCAAUAAACAUUUCUUCAUAAGCAA